UGACGAGUUUGAUCCUGGCUCAGAUUGAACGCUGGCGGAAUGCUUUACACAUGCAAGUCGAACGGUAGAGGGGGCAACCCCUCGAGAGUGGCGAACGGGUGAGUAAUAUAUCGGAACGUGCCCAGUCGUGGGGGAUAACGUAGUGAAAAUUACGCUAAUACCGCAUACGAUCUAUGGAUGAAAGUGGGGGACCGUAAGGCCUCACGCUCAUGGAGCGGCCGAUAUCUGAUUAGCUAGUUGGUAGGGUAAAACGCCUACCAAGGCGACGAUCAGUAGCUGGUCUGAGAGGACGACCAGCCACACUGGGACUGAGACACGGCCCAGACUCCGUACGGGA
rnacentral:rRNA from 1 species